rnacentral:rRNA from 1 species
AGAGAGAGACAUGCGCGCAUAUCAAUAAGCGGAGGAAAAGAAACUAACAAGGAUUCCCUUAGUAACGGCGAGUGGAGCGGGAAGAGCUCAAAUUUGAAAUCUUCAAGGUUUUACCUUGACGAAUUGUAGUUUAAAGAAGUGUUUUCUGCUGAAGUUUUGGUAAAAGUUCUUUGGAAUAGGACAUCAUAGAGGGUGAGAAUCCCGUAUUUGACCAUUAUUUUCAGCUUUGUGAUACACUUUCAAAGAGUCGGAUUGUUUGGGAAUGCAGUCCAAAAUGGGUGGUAAAUUUCAUCUAAAGCUAAAUAUUGGCGAGAGACCGAUAGCGAACAAGUACCGUGAGGGAAAGAUGAAAAGAACUUUGAAAAGAGAGUUAAACAGUACGUGAAAUUGUCAAAAGGGAAGCGUUUGACACCAGUGUUGUUUUCUCGAAAAUCAAUUAAAAAUGGCUCGAUUUUGUAUUGCUUGAGACCUUAAAAGCUCACUGUACAUUCUUCGUGUCUUUUUUAAUGCACUUUUCGUUUAACAAGUCAACAUCAGUUUCUUUUGUUGUAAAAGGGUCAUUGGAAGGUGGCUUUCUUUUCGGAGAAAGUGUUUAUAGCCUUUGGCCUCUGCAAUCGGAGAGACUGAGGUCUGCAGCGUAGACUCUUCGGGGUUAGAUACAUUUGUGCUAAGUUAUAGCUUUUUAUAGACAACUUGUUGACUAUAAUUAGUCUUGUAGCUUACUCGCUUAUGCUAUUUUACCUACGCUUAGGAUGUUGAGUCGUAGAGCACGCAG